UAUUGGACAAUGGGCGAAAGCCUGAUCCAGCAAUGCCGCGUGAGUGAUGAAGGCCUUAGGGUUGUAAAGCUCUUUUACCCUGGACGAUAAUGACAGUAUCGGGAGAAUAAGCUCCGGCUAACUCCGUGCCAGCAGCCGCGGUAAUACGGAGGGAGCUAGCGUUGUUCGGAAUUACUGGGCGUAAAGCGCGCGUAGGCGGCUUUGUAAGUUAGAGGUGAAAGCCCGGAGCUCAACUCCGGAACUGCCUUUAAGACUGCAUCGCUUGAAUCCAGGAGAGGUGAGUGGAAUUCCGAGUGUAGAGGUGAAAUUCGUAGAUAUUCGGAAGAACACCAGUGGCGAAGGCGGCUCACUGGACUGGUAUUGACGCUGAGGUGCGAAAGCGUGGGGAGCAAACAGG
rnacentral:rRNA from 1 species